rnacentral:lncRNA from 1 species
GAAAGUAAAAUAUUUUUUUUUUUUUACGUUGUAACGAUUCAAUCCGCUGGUAAUAAUAACUUAUUGGUUUCAAGUUAUUGAUUUAAAAAUAUUUUAAGUCCAGUUAUUAUUAUUAGUAUCUUUGGUCCUUUAUAUACAAAAUUACUAGACGAUGUGAGACUAGUGUUCAUGAACUCCCCAACGACGCUUUGUUGGGAAAUUCCCAAUCUAUUGUUACAUAUUAAUUUUGCCUUCAUCGAUUCAAGAGUUCAUUGGAUGUUUCUUAUUAUUACAAUAAAAAAAACAAAAACUAAGCUCUAAGAGGGAAGAAUUAUAACCCUUGAUUAGAGAUAAAACUAAAAU